GGGGAUAUAGCUCAGUGGUAGAGUACUUUCCUAACAUGCAUGAUGCCCUGGGUUCAAUCCCCAGCAUUGCAA
rnacentral:tRNA from 1 species